rnacentral:lncRNA from 1 species
UGCCGGGGAGCUCGUCGCCCACGACGCCCAGGGCUCUCUGCAGGUCGCCGGAUCCGCCGCCUCCCCACUGGACGCCGGACGCCGUCUCCACUCUCCAGUCUCCAGAGUCCCAGUCCAGAGCAGUUCGAACUUCGAAGUAGGUUGUCUGCAGUCUCUCUCUGACUCUGUUUGAUUCUUCUUAGUUUAGUUGAUAGCAGUUGCUAGUUUAGUUAAUUCUAGUCAGUACCUAGUUUGGUUCUAGUCAGUACUAGUUCUAGUAACAAUUAAUUCAUGAACUAAUUUAUGUCCUUGUUUAUUUUUUUUAGAAAUGAAGAGAAAGAGGACCCUGCAUAGUUGGUUUGCAAGUAGUUCAAAUACACUUCCUAUAGUUUCAAAAUUUGGUUCAAAAUUUGAUAAUUUCUAAAAAAUCAAGAAAAAUUCUGGUAUAUAGUACGUGUUUCCAGGGAAAGUUUCAGUUUAUUUGUACAAAAGGACUAGGAGAUAAGCAUCUUUUUCUUCAAAAGAGCGUUCGAUUUUCUCGGCUUAAACUUUGAGCCCACCCUCCAUUUUUUCUCUAGAUUCGCCACUGGUAGGGUGUGCGUGUGUGUGUUCAUAGGGGUGAGUGUAUGCGCAUGUAUAUGAGCGCUUGUGUCUGUAUUGAUGCUCAAAAAAAGUGAUGGGAGGUUAAUUCUAAAGUAUAUAUGUUAAGCUCCAAUAUAUUACGCUCAUCAAAUCCUUGAAGUAUACUUUAUUCUCCUAUCAUCACUUGUUGAAUUCCUUUCUCUUACUUUUUACGCCACCUCCUCCCAAUCCUUUUAAGUAUCCAUG